rnacentral:lncRNA from 1 species
GGUUAAAAAAAUCCAUUACGUUUUAAGUCCAUAUUUGUCUUCGUUGUACUUAACAUUUUGUUUCUUUCAAUUGUGUUUUUCUUUUGUGAUGUAGCCAAAUAACUACCUAUAAUCUAGUUAUUUAAGCAUCAUAAUAAUAAAAGUUACAAACCUCAUUUAUCUGUGUGCUUAAUUUUGAGCUCUUAGAAAUGAGAUCCCUUUUAGAAUUUCCUGUAGAAUCUUAAAG